AGUUCUGUCAAGUUAUGCAGAGUGUAAUUGAUGGUGGUGGUUACAACCGACUUGGUUGGGAAGUGGAAUUGGGGCAAGGUGAGGGUACACUCUCUUCCAGCAGUCUGGUUAUGGUGAAAACCGGAGGCCAUUUAAAAGAACAAGUUGUUUUUAUUUCUACUUCAGCUGGGGUUAUUCCUGCCGGGGUGGGGGUGGGGAGAAGGAGAGAGAGUGAAAGAUGCUGAAACUAAACAGCAAAGAAGAAAAUAAAGAAUUGGUGCUAUGUUUUUAGUGUUCCUCUUUGCUCGUGGGUGGAAAUGGCUUUUGGUGAGUCAUAGGUAAGGAUCGUUGUGGCUGUCUGAAGAUGGGAAAGUGUCAGGAGUUUAUCAGUUGUGAGGCUACUGUGUGGCUGGGCCUGCUUCUUCCAGGAGGCCAUCUGGCACUUCUCUUUGCCAGCUUCUUGUUACCCCCAAGUGGAAAUCCAUGCUCCGUUGUGUGUAAGGGAGGCAUGGAGCAAAGGAGGAAAUUAAAUUGAGUCCACAGUAAGAAAAAAGAUGGGGGGCGACUUCUAAAGGUCCUUCUACCUCUAGGAAGCAGGUGAGCUGAGCAGUUGAGCGGUUGGAGGGGGCAGUUUAUCUUGGGAUGUACCUCUGCUCGCACCCUGGCUUUCUAGAGCAUUGGGAGUGUUGGGGGCAAUGAGAUUGAAGCCUGUCUUGCUCAACACAUCUGCCCAGCUCCUCAGCCCCUGGGUGGAAGCCCAUAGCACCAGCAUGCAUCUGGUUCUGAUGUACCUGCCAGGGUGGUAUGGACAUAGGCUGUGUGGCCCACACUUGACCUGCUUGGGAUUAGCAGGUCCUCUGCUCAGCAGCACUAAAGCUUUUGAUUAUUUCGGAGCACUGGGUGGCCUCUUCCCCGUCUGUGAAGCCCAUGGACCCCCUCCAUACUUCUGUUAUGUCAGAGUUAAUUGCCCGGCAGUGGGGUGUCACUCAUGGUGGGAUGGCCAAGAAAUGCUGCAGGGAAGGACAGUGUCCUCAACAGGUAAGAGCAUGGCAUGGGAUUCUCUUCCUCUUUAGCUAGCCAGAGGGUCCUGAAACCGAACCGUCUUUUGAAUGGGAUAGUCCUUGGCAUUUUCUCUUCAGUGGUUCCCCAUGGACAACCCCCCCUUUUUUGCCUACCUUAGGCUGUAGGCACUCUGAGUGGGGUCCUGAAAGUAUAACUAGUGUUGCUUUCAGUGGUCUGCUCAUCCCAGGGGCACAACUUAACAAGAGAGCAUCCAGGUCAGAAGCAAAUGUCCUCUGUUCCUAAGUGUCCUGGGAACAAAUUCCCUGCCAAGAGUGAACAAGAGGCAGGACUCCUCGUGGCUCUAGAGCUUUCCUACCAAGUCCGUGGUGGAGUGGGGCAGGGCUUGGGAACAGGGAAAUUUAAAAAAAAAAAAAAAAAAAAAAAAAAAAAAGCAGUCAGUUGCCUUUUCUGGAAAUAGGGUAGCUGCGGAUAAAUUGGAGACCAGGAAAUCCUGCUGAUAGAGAGAGGGAAUAACGUUCCCCAGGUAGGAUGGCUCUGUGGUCUAAUCCACUUGUUCUGAGAGUUGUAGGAUUCCGUGGUAGAAGAAAGACCAGGGCUCUCACUAAACAGGUCCUUACACUUGCUCCCCCCCCCCCCGCGCCCCUAGCCCCUAUCCAAAGAGAUCCACAGCACUGGGCUCUGAACGGACCUGCCUCUCAAGACACCUGGUGGAAGAACCUGGGGUUUCUCCAACUUGUAAGCUUUCAAAAUAGACAGGAAAGGAAGGGAGAGCCCCCAUCAUUCAGAUUAAGUCUCUUUAGGAUCAGAAAACUUAUCCAUUACUAUGGCAUCCUUAGCAUCCUUAGCAUCCUCAUAGGUGGCCCUUAUAAGUUGUUCAGGAUGCGAGGUAAGCUAGGAGGAGGCUGGCCUGUUCCCAGCAACCCAAGUAUAUGUUUCCUAAGAAAAAAAACAAAACAAAAACAAAACUCUGCAGCUUUAAAGAUUUUCCCUAGCUAGAACCCAUCUACUUUUAUCAGGGUCUCAUACAGGCAACCAGAGCCAGCUUCAUCUCUUUUUUUGUGGCAAGAGGUUGCAUUUUAGGAGGGCUCAUUUGAUCCUGUUUGCAGCUAGUGCCUCUGUCCCUGUCCUCACCUGGGUCUUUAUAUGAAAACUCCGCAUGUAAGAUCUUUACAUUUUUUUUCUAUUCAUUUUGGCUAGAAAAUUUGACAAGGCAUAGACACAUUAAGUUUCAUGAACCACACUGGGCUGAUCUACCAAAAGGCAUCUCACUUGUAUUUGGAUAUAGCCAAGGGUGGAGUGCUGUAUCACUCACUGCCUCCUGAAACCUCACCAAGACUUUCUCACUGGCAGAAAUUUCUAGAAAAUCCUCCUGAGGCCAUUCCUGGGGUGGCCCAGAGCAGCCCCGGCCUGUGAGGAGAAGGGAAAGGGGGUGAGGAGUCAUGAGGGUUAGUUUGGGGGAUGGGGCUCCUCUCUGUACCUCAGGGGAGCUGGGAGGCUCGGCUGGACAGGAGGUCUAUCUAUGUCAAUCUCUCUGAGCUUCUGUUUGGGUUGAGUUAGGAAAGGAGACACCUUUUCUAAAAGGGGGAGUCACAGUCACUGGCCAUACCUCACACGCACUUGUCAAACCUCUUCCUAAAGUUGUGUCCUCACCCCCUGCCCUGUCGUGGCAGGAGUAACAUCUCAGGAGUUUUUGUACCUGCUCCUGGCCCUGAACUCCCGGCUCUGGACUUACCAUUGUUUCGUUUGUUGUGCACUGAGUUCCAACCUGUAAUUCCUGAAGUGAUGCUGCUACCACUGACUUGGAGGGGAGUGUGGGAGCUGCCCCUGGAGCUUCAGUGUGGGGACGUAAAGCUAUGGUCUUUAAGGCCACACUGACUCAGACACCCACCUAAUCCAAAGAGCCUUCUCCAUUUGUGAGCCUUCCUCCUCUUACUCAGCAGGGAGGCUUGCUUCUCCAAGUCACACUGCAACUCUCAGACAACCAAGAAGAAGAAUUUCCCUGGGAUCCACUGCCUGCUACAGAUAGCUUCCUACCAAAUGCUGGCUCCUUCCUUAAAAAUCUCUCCCCCGGGUCUGGGCAGAUGAACAUGGUUCGUAUGGCCUUUGGGACAGGGCCCUCCACCCCCAUCCCCACAAAGCAGGCAUUCCGAAAAUGACCUCCCGAUGUUGCUGCACAUUAUGGCCCAGUAACCUGGCCAAGACGUACGUACGCCAUCCUAGCACGUCAGAGACACGUGAGAUUGACACAGGGUUCAAAAGGGAGGAAGACACCUGACCUCCUCGGGCCCUUCUAUCUGCACACAUACACACAGUCACUUGGAGAAAAUCAAGUGUGUGUACCUCUCCCUGCAGAUGGUGGAUCUGUAAGAACAAAGGGUUGAGCUCCUCCUCUUUGAGAAGCAGAAAGCCGGUUUCAGAUGUUAGCUGCUCAGUCAGUGCCUUUGGGUGCCUACUACCUCUGCUCCCCCAAGACUGAAGAGUCGAGGCUGACAGCUAGCUACACACACCUCUCUUGUUAAAAGCGGCAAGGACAAGGGCUGGUGAUUCACCUCAGAGUGUGCCAAGUUCAAGCCAAUGAUGCGGGGUCCACCUUCUGCUGAGAGCCAGUCCUGGAAGGCACAACUCCUGCCUGAGCUCAUGGAAGUGCUUCAGCAAAAGUUAUUCUUGUUCAUUAAAAAAUAAUAUUAAUAAUUAAAAGAUGUCUACGCUUCCCUCA